GUCUACAGCCAAAAUAUAUUGACUGUGCCCAAACUUAUCUGAUCUCAGAAACUAAGCAGGAUUGGGCCUGGUAGUUUUGAAUGAGAGACCACUUGUGAAGACUGGGUGCUGUAGGCU
ensembl:rRNA 5S_rRNA 5S ribosomal RNA